GAUGAACGCUAGCUACAGGCUUAACACAUGCAAGUCGAGGGGCAGCGGUAUCGCAAGCUUGCUUUCGUAGCCGGCGACCGGCGCACGGGUGAGUAACGCGUAUCGAACCUGCCUCAUACUCGGGAAUAGCCUUGCGAAAGUAAGAUUAAUGCCCGGUGUUUUCAGAGUCCCGCAUGAGGCUUUGAACAAAGAUUUAUCGGUAUGAGAUGGCGAUGCGUCCCAUUAGCUUGUUGGCGGGGUAACGGCCCACCAAGGCAUCGAUGGGUAGGGGUUCUGAGAGGAAGGUCCCCCACAUUGGAACUGAGACACGGUCCAAACUCCUACGGGAGGCAGCAGUGAGGAAUAUUGGUCAAUGGGCGGAAGCCUGAACCAGCCAAGUAGCGUGCAGGAAGACGGCCCUCCGGGCUGUAAACUGCUUUUAGUUGGGAAUAAAACGGGGCUCGUGAGCCCCCUUGCAUGUACCAUCAGAAAAAGGACCGGCUAAUUCCGUG
rnacentral:rRNA from 1 species